UGGGGGAUGACGUCAAGUCCUCAUGGCCCUAUGGGUAGGGCUCCACACGUCAUACAAUGGUCGGUACAGAGGGUUGCCAAGCCGCGAGGUGGAGCCAAUCCCUUAAAGCCGAUCGUAGUCCGGAUCGUAGUCUGCAACUCGACUACGUGAAGUCGGAAUCGCUAGUAAUCGCAGAUCAGCAUGCUGCGGUGAAUACGUUCCCGGGUCUU
rnacentral:rRNA from 1 species